rnacentral:rRNA from 11 species
CUUCGGGAAAAGGAUUGGCUCUGAGGGUUGGGCCUAGGGGUCUCUGGGAAGAUAUUGCGGCUGCUAGGGAGGACUGCGGCUCACGCUGCGGACCGCCCGGGCGGCUCUUUGGACGACCAGAGGACGUGUGCGCUUGCGUACGCUUUCCCUAGUGCGAUGAACAACCAGCUCAGAACUGGAGCGGACAAGGGGAAUCCGACUGU